rnacentral:rRNA from 1 species
GGCUCAGAUUGAACGCUGGCGGCAUGCCUUACACAUGCAAGUCGAACGGCAGCAUGGAAGAGCUUGCUCUUCUGAUGGCGAGUGGCGAACGGGUGAGUAAAGCAUCGGAACGUACCGUGUAGUGGGGGAUAACGUAGCGAAAGUUACGCUAAUACCGCAUACGCACUGAGGUGGAAAGCAGGGGAUCGCAAGACCUUGCGCUAUACGAGCGGCCGAUGUCAGAUUAGGUAGUUGGUGGGGUAAAGGCCCACCAAGCCAACGAUCUGUAGCUGGUCUGAGAGGACGACCAGCCACACUGGGACUGAGACACGGCCCAGACUCCUACGGGAGGCAGCAGUGGGGAAUUUUGGACAAUGGGCGCAAGCCUGAUCCAGCAAUGCCGCGUGCAGGAAGAAGGCCUUCGGGUUGUAAACUGCUUUUGUACGGAACGAAAAAGUCCGGGUUAAUACCCUGGGCCCAUGACGGUACCGUAAGAAUAAGCACCGGCUAACUACGUG